UCACAGAUGAAGCCCUGCUGAGACAAGUCAUCAAAACAACCAGCGAGGAAAUUGAAAGGAGAUGUCGUCUGGGUCGCAACACCUGCACCAAAGUCAUCUAUGCACAAAGUGGUCAGGAAUCAUCUCUGGAGACCAGCCCUGGAUACUCAGUCCAAGAACUCACACUCACAUCUCUCGUAGAAUCGUGUGUGGACCUUCACCCUCCAAGCCAGUCAGCCAGCCACUCUCAGGAACGUCUCCCACCUCUGGACCCCGACUCUUACCUGCCAGCAACCCCCCUCGCACAAUUACACUUUGUCAAAUAAAAAGUUGAAAUCACCAUCACUUGUCCGGUCUGCUUCUGGGGCUCCCUCUGAAUCCUGACAGUACGAUCCGGCUAUGACAGACCCAGCGGAUUUGGACAAGGUACGUCAAGCCAUAACUCAUCAAGAGUCCGUUUUAGGACAACAUGGUCAGUCCCUCCGUGAAAUCACGACUGGAUUACGGACCCUCGCCUCCAGUGUGACCGCCAUCCGAGCCCAACUCAGUUCGCAAGCCAGCGCCGCUCCCGUACCCGUGCCUUCUGCUGCCACCGCUCCUCCCUCAGUCUCCGCCUCCGAUCGGGAGCCCUGGAUUACCGCACCUGAGAGGUAUGACGGUAAUCUUGGCCAAUGUUGUGCUUUUUUUCAUGCAAUGUGGACUUGUCUUUGAUCAGCAGCCUCACACCUAUACGUACGAGAGAUCUAAGAUUGCUUACCUAAUCGGUCUCCUCCGAGGUGACGUGUUGGUAUGGGCUUCCACUGCAUGGGAGAAGCACUCGCCGGCCACCACCACAUACGUCAUGUUCACGGAGGAGAUGCGCAAGCUGUUUGACCACCCUGUAAGAGGUAAAGACGCAUCAAAGAGGCUGUCUACUCUGCGACAGGGGGGUCGCAGCGUGGCCGAGUAUGCCAUUGAGUUCCGCACUUUGGAGAGUGGAGAGUGGGUGGAAUGAUGAGUCACUAACUGCUGUUUUUGCUAAUGGUUUGUCUGACCUGUUGAAGGAUGAGCUUAUCUCUUACCCAGAGUCCCAGUUUGGAUGAGUUAAUCUCCCUCGCUAUCCGCAUUGACAACCGCUGCCUGGAACGCUGGAGGGAGAAACGCCAGGCUGGAGGUUACGAGCACUUCCGUGUUCCCCGCAUCUCUGGUUCGGCGGGCCCCGCCCCCUCUCACCCUGCUCCAGUUCCUCAGACUUUCUCCAGGAGGGAGAGCUCCCCGGGUGCCGAGCCGAUGCAGCUGGGCCGUACUCGUUUGGAUGAGGAGGAACGUCUGAGACGCAGGACAACUAACAGCUGUCUCUACUGCGGCCAGCCCGGUCACUACAUCGCCACCCGCCCUCAACUGCAGUCAAACAGGCAGGCUCACUAGUAGGAGGAAGCAUCCUAGCGAGCAAGCUUCCUGUCUGCGGGCUCCGUUCCACCUUUCUUUCCACCAUAAAGGUCAGUCCAGCUUUGAUCGAUUCAGGAGCGGACGAAAGUUUUUUGGAUUCUCUGGUAGUUAAACAGCUGGGCCUCCCCACGGUGCCUCUGGAGGCUCCCUUAGAAGCUAACACCCUAGACGGCAGACUCCUGGCCCGAGUGACUACUAAGACUGGUCCAGUCCGGCUCCAGCUCUCAGGAUUCCCAGCUGCCCAGGGCCCAGUGAAACACAGGCAGCAUGACCUGUGCCUGCCACCAGGUCACCACCAGGACCCCAACAGCAACCUGAACACCCAUCUACUCAGCAGCCAGCUCCACUGUCUUGGAGCUGAAGAUGGACAAAGACCCAGCCAUCGCUCUCCAUCUCCAGGUUUCAACCAGCUCGGACACAGGGCUAUGCUCAUAACAUGCAAAUUAUGUAAAUAGUGGGGCUUUUCUGUGUUUUUUCAA